GCAAGAUAAGGAUCCAAUUACCUAGAAGAAAGGCGUUUUUACAUCCUGAUCGUGCUGACCCAUCUUGCACCUGCAAAAGAAGGGAAUCACCUGUUUUCUUCUCUUCAAUUAAGCAGGAGAAGCUUCUUUCGAUCUCCUCAUCGGAAUCGACAAUAACUCUAUAUUCCCUUUCCAGCACCAGGCACUGCUAAUAUUCAAGUUGCUCGAAUGCAAACAUUUGGAGACGCAGGUUGGCUGAUAGUAAGUGGGAAAAGUGAGAUGCUUGUACUUGCUUUUCCAAUGCAGAAAGAACAUCAGAUAUCUCAUGUACCCUUUCUUGGUAUGCAUCGUUCUUAAGUUGAUC